GUCCGCGUAGCUCAAUUGGAUAGAGCGUCGGCCUCCGGAGCCGAAGGUUGCAGGUUCGAGCCCUGCCGCGGAUA
rnacentral:tRNA from 1 species